rnacentral:lncRNA from 1 species
GGAACUCACAAAUCUGAACCCCAUAUUCAAUAUCAAGCAUGAGUUCUAAUGAUCAAAAUCCAUGGUUCACUCAUUGACACUAAUGCAGAAUGUUAUACCAAGUCACCUUUACAUACUCAGUUUCAGAAUAAAGAAAAGGGUCCUGAAUAACACCCAUAAUUGGAAAUCUAAUUAUAAAACACACAAAUAGUAAAAGGAAAAUGGGAAUUCAACUUAAAAUAGGAUCUUCAUUUAACCAAACUUCAGAUCUUUAUAUGCAUCAACAAUCAUGCUUUAACUAUGAGCUAAAGAAGUACCUGGAGAUUUGAAAGAGAACAACAGAGGGUAGUGAGACCAAAGAAUAACAGCAACAGUAGAAAUCAACAAGAAACACAUAGCCCUAGAUUUAGUUAACGAAACCAGGAAACUGACUCAAACCCAAUGGAACAGUAACUUCACACAACUUGACCCAAAAACAUUCCAAACUUAAUGUUAACCCAUUUCAAAUUUCGUUAAUGAAGCAGUUUUCUUUUCCAGACAUUGAAAGACUCAGAAAAUCCUGAAGAAACACCUAAUGAUACAGUAUUUUUGGCUGUUCUGUGAUUUAUCAUAAUUGUUUUUCUCAAAAAAAAUCCCCCUUUAUGUUUUUUAAUAGCUUCUUAUAUACUAAGCAUUAGGGCAAACCCCAUAAUUUAAUUUACCUCAUUAGUCCCUUAUUUUAUGACUUGUUAACCAAGUCAUAGCAUGAGAAUUUAACAGUAGACCCAUGCCAGAAAUUUUCAGGGACUUAUUUAGUGGUUACUGCAAGAUUCCUUAAGUGCAUUUCCUAGCUUACCCUUUAAUGACCUUAUUUUUUACCCCCUAAGCUUCAGACUAAAAUAUGAGUCAAUUUGGGGGCUGACCCGUUUAGGAAUUCAUCCUAAGCCUGAAACUUCAAAGUAUGAGGUACAAUCCCAAACAACAUCAAAUUAACAAACGAAGGGAAAACAAAGAACAAAACAGUUUAAGCAGUUCUGAAAAUUUAAUUAACACUUAACAAAAUUGAAACUAACUUAUUAACAAACUAUUUAAACUAUUUAAAGAAAGAAAAACUUCUUAAGAACUAACAUGCAUAAGAAAAAUGAUUAUGGAGAACCAAUAUAACGAAAAGAAAUCAAAAGAAAAGAAAUAACAGAAGUUGAUAAAAUAGGACCUAACAGAAGGCAAAGAAAGCAUGAAAAAGAUAAUAAAUGAGAAAGAAAAAUACCUAAACGGGCUUGGACAUUUAACAAACAGAAAUGGAUCCCCUGACCUUCAAUUUUUGGCUAAUUCUAACGUUAAUCGUGUGUUAUUAUCGAGAACACACAACUAACAUAUAAAAAACACAAAUCUCCCAUGAAAUCUUGAUUUUUAAAAAGUAGGGUUCGGACUCAGAUUCGAAAUUCGAGGGAUUUGACUAAGAUUCGAAGGUUGAGAGUUUGAGACUAGGGAAGAGGUGAUCAUGGGGAUACUGCGGUUUUAAAUUUGGGGUUGAAAAGAGAUGGCGGCAUCACCGGAGACUGUGGCGGUGCUAGGGUUCAUGUCUUCAAAUCAAUAUUUGAAGGGUUUGGUCGAGUUUGAACGAAACCAGUAGUGGAUUCAAGAUGAGGAUGUCAGGGUGGGCUUGUGGUAUAAAUUUGGUUGGGAUUGGACGCUGGCCGCCGUCGUGGGAGAUUUCCAGCGGGCGGCAGGUGGAGGCUCAGGGGAGAGAUCAG